CGCUGCUUUUGCCCCUUCCAGCUCCUUGCUACCAUUUUCUGCUCCUUCUCCUUCUUACCUUUGUGCUUCUUCUGAUUCUUUUUGCUCCUUUACCUUUGUGCUCCUUUUGUCCCUUCCUUCUCCUUGCAGACCCUUCCUGCUCCUUGCAGACCCUUCCUGCUCAUUUCUGCUCCUUCUCCUACUUUACGUUUGUGCUCCUUCUGCCCCUUCCAUCUCAGGUAAGAGGGAUGGGGGGCAGCCUACAGAUCAGGUAAAUGAGGCAUGGGGGGG